UACAGAGGGGGCAAGCGUUAUCCGGAAUUAUUGGGCGUAAAGGGCGCGUAGGCGGCUUGGCAAGUGGAAGGUGAAAUCCCUCGGCUUAACCGAGGAACUGCCCUCCAAACUGCUUGGCUUGAGACCGGGAGAGGUGAGUGGAAUUCCCAGUGUAGCGGUGAAAUGCGUAGAUAUUGGGAGGAACACCAGUGGCGAAGGCGGCUCACUGGACCGGUACUGACGCUGAUGCGCGAAAGCGUGGGGAGCAAACGGG
rnacentral:rRNA from 1 species